CUCCCUAAGAAGAAUCCUGGCUUUUCAAACCCUCUUUCUCCGUUCCACCCAAGCUCUUGCCAACGCUCUGCGUCUUGUGAAUCUACUCAAAUGUCAGGUUGAAGCUCUUGAACCGCUUCUUCAGCACUAACUUGUGCACCUUCCUGUUCUCGUUCAAACCUUUAGGGCUAAGAGAACUCAGAAUCUUGCUCCACGUUUCAACCUGGUAGUUCUUGUGGUAAGUUCUCAGGUCCAUGGAUCUCUUGCGACACCACGUUUCUCCCAUCACUUCGUAGAUCUCUGUAGAGCCUUUUAUCUUCUGAACUAUGUACCUUCUGUUGCUCAUCAUAAAUAUGAGGCUUAGUGGUACUUCUUUGUACAGCUUCGCUUUUCCUUCAAGAUUUGUGUCCAGAAGCUCCAUUACCCUCAUUAACUGCGCCGCAAAAGAUGUUCCUCUCACUGUUUCUGAGACAAAGUUAAGGCAUUGAAGGCCGAGAUGCCAUUUUCCAGGCCUACAUUAAGGCAUUGGUGGAAGAUCCAGACAAUACAGAAUUGAUGCACGAAAGUUGGAAGAGUGGGCUGGAGUUCAAAAUCCAACUUCUCUUGUUGAGUUUUCAUCCAAAGAAGGAGAAGCUGAGAAGAUUUAAAGGACAUUGCAUAAAGGGCUGGGGGGAAGGGGAAUUCAGUUAUAGUCGUUUCUUUGCAGUUGGACUCUUUCGUCUAGUUGAGUUGGAAAAUGCCACAGAACCAAUAAUUUUGGACAAGGCUAACCAAUUCAUUUAAGACUUAUUAUUAUUAUGACUUGGAUUUAUUCAAAUAAUCAUUUCAUUACUGUAUUUUGUUUUGCAAUUGGAAGUUGAAGCUACCAAGUCUAGUUCUCACUUCCCAUCUACACAUGUUUUAGCAAAUUACAAAUCAAGAAAUUCCAACAUAUUUUGAAGUGCUUAAUAGAUUUUGCCUGAUAA